CUAUGCUUCUAUGUUUGCUAUAGGGUCAGGAACACAAACAUGUAUUCCUGACCCUAUAGUGCUCAACCCACCAUUUAGGUGGCUUGCCCUCCACCUUACCCCCCUUAAAAGGAGUUACAACUCCCCUUAUUGCUGAUUUUUAGCCACAAUAAUUUGUGGUCUUGUCGGAAUAAUGUUUAUUAGCACAUAUUCCUGUUGUAGUGCAUGACAAU